rnacentral:lncRNA from 1 species
GUCUCGAUUAAGCCAUAGAUUGUUCUGAAAACAACCCUCAUCAUCGGGAAAAAAAACACCCCCACCCACUUCAGAAUCACAAAUCCUGUGAAAUUUUAUUGAACAAAAUAUAUUAUAAAAUCAGAUAAUAUAUAACCACAACUUCCUAAACAUUAUUGUUUCCUAAACACUGUUGUAGCUCUUAAGCAGUGCAUGCUUACUAUUAUUAAGCUAAUGAUAGUAUAAGCUGCUGAUGGAGAGAAGACGAUGCAUGUAAAAUGCAGUCUCAAAAUCAGUCAUGAACUUAAAAAAAUCUUAGUAUAUAUAGUUUAGAAAAGAGAAUCUGGUAUUAACUAUACAGAUUCUCUAGAUUAUUGUUUUCUAGUUUAGUAUAGAAUACUUUCGUAUCUAGUAUUUAUUUUCUAUUUUAAGGGUCAGUAGAUAAACUUCUCUUUUUUAUUUAUUGUACAAAAUACUGCUGGUAAUAUUAAAAAAAAAAAAAGACUUCUCUCAAAAUUCUUCAUGAUAUCAAAACCUACUCUUGAACUCUAAUCUGCUUCUCUAAAGCAUGAAAUAAUAAGACAAAACUCUCUCUCUGAGGUGACCUCACAGCUAAAAACAGCCUCACCUGAGCCUUUCAAGAAGCACUAAAGCAUAUCACACCAAAUCAUAGGACACAAACUCAAUGGAUAUAAUUAUCUUCAAUGGUCAUCAUUAGUCAUGAUAUUUAUUUGUGGAGAAGGCAGAGAUGACUACCUCACAAGAGAUAUCAUUAUACUAGAAAAAAAUGAUCUCAUGUUUCAAACAUGAAAAACUAAAAAUCAUAUGGUAAUGUCAUAACUGAUCAAUUCAAUAACCAAUGAAAUUGGAGAAAAUUUUCUCCUAUAUAGAAUAGCAAAGGAAAUCUAGAAAGCAACAAGAAAAACCUACUCAAGUUCUGAAAAUAAAUCAGAACUAUUUGAGAUUGAGGCAAUGUUAAUCUACAACAAGAAAAUCUUUCUAUUACUCAAUACUUCAACACUCUUUGUCGUCAUUGGCAACAUCUAAAUAUAUUUGAAAUUCACAGCUAGAAUUGCCCUAACAACACAGUCCUAUGUAAAAGAAUUGUAGAGUAGAAAAGAACUUUCAAAUUUCUUCUUGGGCUCAACAAGAAUCUUGAUAAAGUAAGAGGAAGAAUAAUGGAAACCAAACCUCUUCCAAAUCUCAUAGAAGCAUUCUUUGAGGUUAGACGUGAAGAAAGUAGAAAGAAAGUAAUGAUGAGAUCUCACAACUUAGCUCUAAUAAUGGAAGGAUCUGCCCUUGCUGCUCGAGAUAGCAACUAUGAUAAUCGACAGAGAAAAGGAAGACCCUAGUGUGAUCGCUGCAACAAACCAGGACAUGUCAAGGAAAACUGCUGGAAGAUUCAUGGCAAACCUACUGGUUGGAAACCAUCAAAAUUAAUAAAUGACAAAGACAAACAUGCCAACAAUGUUACCUUAGAUAACAACCGAGAUAAGAACACCAUUUUACCAACAGAAACAAGUCCUUUCAACAAGGAACAACUUGAGAUCUUAUAGAAACUCUUUAGCCAAAAUUCACUGUCUCAACCAAGUAUGUCAGCCGACCAUUUGAUAGGAGAUGCCACUUUUCUUAAUGAAUACAAUCAGUGCACUAAUAAUUCAACAAUCCAUAUAGCUGAUGGGUCUUCCUCCCAAGUUAAGGGAAUAGGCAUGAGCAGACUCUCAAGGGACAUGAUCCUAAACUCUAUUCUCCAUGUUCCCAACCUAGACUGCAACCUUCUUUAAAUUAGCAAAUUUACUCAUGACCUAAAUUGUGUUGCUAAAUUCUUUUCUCAUUUGCGUAUAUUUCAGGAUCUGGAUACGAGGAAAAAGAUUAACGGUGCUAAGAUGUGUUUUCGGCUCUAUCUCCUCAAAAGUGAGAUUCCUCUAAGAAAGCAAACUCAAAACAUAAGCUAUGUAUCAUCCAAAGGUCAAUUAACUUUAAAUUUUCAUGUCAAUAAAGAUAAUGAGGUUCUGUUAUGGCACCAUGGUCUUGGUCAUCCAAACUUCAUGUAACUUGAAAGGCUGUUUCCAUCUUUCUUUUCCAAUAAAAGCUCACAAUCCUUUAAAUGUAAAAUAUGUCAACUCUCAUAACAUGUUCGUAAUACCUAUCCCACCAUUUCAUAUAAACCAUCACAUCCAUUUGCAAUGAUUCAUAGUGAUGUAUGGAGCCCCUCACAAGUGCAUAAUAUAAUUGGAACUCAGUAGUUUGUCUUUUUUGUUAAUGAUCAAACUAGAUUGACUUGGUUAUUCCUCAUGAAAGAAAAAUCUAAAAUCAGCCAAAUUUUCCAAAACUUCCAUUCCAUGAUACAAACUCAAUUCCAAACUAAAAUCCAAAUCCUAAAAACUGAUAAUGCCCAAGAAUAUUUCAAUUCUAGCCUUAAUACUUAUUGUCUAAAUCAAGGCAUUAUCCAUACAAGCUCUUGUGUUAACACUCCAUAACAAAAUGGAGUGGCUAAAAGGAAGAAUAGACAUCCGUUGGAAGUUGCUAGAUCCCUUGUGCUCUCUACUCAUGUGCCAAAACAAUCUGGGGAGAGGUUAUACUCACAGUAACCUAUCUCAUCAAUAGAAUGCCUUCCAAAGUUCUAAACUUCAGAACUCCCAGCCAAGUCCUUCUACAAGCCUUUCCACACACCAAACUACUCUAUUCCUUAGACCCUAAAGUAUUUGGUUGCUCGGUACUCUAUUCCUUAGACCCUAAAGUACUUGGUUGCUCGAUAUUUGUUCAUAUACACCAUAAAGGAAAAUUAGACCCUACCUCUCUCAAGUGCAUUUUUAUAGGAUACUCUCCACACCAAAAAGGUUACAAAUGUUAUUCCCCUGUUCACAAAAAGGUCUAUACUUCUAUCAAUGUCACAUUUUUGAACAUCAAACAUACUAUCCCAAGUUUGAUCUUCGGGGGGGCAACCAUGAGAAAAUAUCAGAAUUGUAAUAUACAAUCUGAUUAUGUAAUUAAAUCAGGAGACAACCAACAGAGUUUUAUCCAAGGGCAUGCCCCUAUGAGCUCUCCUGCUUUAAGUCCUUACACUACACCUCUAGCCUCAAUCCAACCAGUCCCAGCAUAACCAGCCUCAGUCCAAUCUCCUAACUAGAUUUAUCCUACACCAAAACAGAUCACAAAUCAUGAGCUUCUUACUUAUUCUAGAAGAAAAAAACUCAGAAAGGAGAUAGAACACACAAUACCUCUUGCACAUGACCAAGAUUCAGAACCAAGUCCAAAUUCUACCCCAAUAUACAUAGGUAUGGAAACUUUUGAUUGUGAGAAUACUGCCUCUGUUAUUGAUGAUUCAAAUAUUUCAAUUUCUUUGAGAAAAGGUGUUCGAUCAUACAUAAGUCAUCCCAUCAGCAAAUUUGUUUCAUAUGAAGGGUUAUCACCAACCUAUCAUGCAUUUGUUUCAGCCAUUGACAGUGUACAAAUUCCUAAGUCUAUUGAAGAAACUCUCAAAGAUUCAGGUUGGAGAAAGAUAGUUAGUGAUGAAAUAGAUGCCUUAAACAAGAAUAGAACUUGGGAAAUUUCUGAACCUCGACCUAGAAAGAAACUAGUUAGGUGUAAAUGGUUAUUUACUAUCAAACAUAAGGCUGAUGGAAGAAUUAAAAGGUUAAAAGCUCGUCUAAUUUCAAAAAGAUUUACUUAGUCCUAUGGAAUAAAUUAUCAAGAAACAUUUGCUCCAGUGACCAAACUUAAUACAAUCAAAGUACUUCUGUUCCUAACAGCCAACAAAGACUGACCAUUACAUCAACUAGACAUCAAAAAUGCUUUCCUUAAUGGAGACUUGGAAGAAGAAGUGUACAUAGAGAUUCCUUCAGGACUAGAAACAUCCUCCGACCUUAACAAAGUAUACAGACUGAAGGAGAUGUUCAGUCUAUACUGCUCCUAGUGUUGCUAAGGUGUGUAUGGACAAUGUGUACAAACUACAUGGAUUACCAGCAUCAAUAGUUAGUGAUAGGGAUCCAGUGUUUUUGAGUAAAUUCUGGAAGGAGAUGUUCAGCAUUUAAUGGGUCAACCUACUCUAUUCUACUGCAUAUCAUCCACAAACUAAUGGCAAACAGAGAUAGUCAACAAAUGCAUUGAAAAUUAUCUUAGAUGUAUGAUAUGAGAGUGUCCAAGUCAGUGGGUGAGACGCCUAUCUUUAGCAGAAUGAUGGUGCUAUAUCAACUUUCAUUCUGCUACCAAAUUGACACCCUGUGAGGUACCUUAUGGUUUCCCUCCUCUUAUACACAUUCUCUAUUUUUCUAAGGGUUCCAUGGUAGAAUCAGUUGGUGAAGUACUAACCAGAAGGAAGGACAUGAUUAAAAGGGCCAAUAGAAAGAAAAGUGAAAGACAUUUUUCAAGAGGUGAUUAUGUCUACUUGAAGCUACAACCCUACAGACAAUAAUCAACUAUUCGCAGAUCAUCUCAAAAAUUAGUUGCUAAGUUUUUUGGGCCAUACCAGAUUAUAGAAAAGAUUGGAAACGUCGCCUACAAGCUGGAAUUACCACCUUCAGCAGAGAUCCACCCUGCCUUCCAUAUGUCUCAGCUUAAGAGGCACCUGGGAAACCACUCUGUGGAAACUACCCAACCUGUUUUGCAUCGAACACCUGACCUGCAACCACAAGACAUAUUAGACAUGCACAUUGCAAGAAAGAAAAACAGAGCUACUACUCAGUUUCUAGUUCAAUGGAAAGGCUUACCACCAGUCGAUGCCACUGGGAGUUCGCGGAUGAGCUAGCAUUACGUUUUCCAUGGCUGACCCUUGACGACAAGGAAUCUUUCGUGGGGGGAGAAUUGUCAAGAGUAACAGGAGAAGAAGAAGAAGAUGUUGGUAGCUUGAAUUUAAAAUAAAAUGACCGUUGCAAGCCAGUCUUUUGUUUGUUAACUGCCCAUGUGCGCCGUUUCACUAACUUGCUAUGCAUCGUUUCACUCCCUUCCUUGUGCACUGUGUGGUUGUUGGUGUUGCGCACUGUUUUGCUUACUUGUCUCAGGAUGAGUGAUUGAUGUAGUUUGAUUCGGGUGAAUCUCUCACAGCAUGUUUUGAAUGAAUUAAGCUGUUAGGUUCUUGAGUUGAUUGUUGGUUAGUGUGAAGCCCUCGUUUGAUCUAGAAUCCUCACUGGAUUCUUCGUUGAUUGGUGGUCUUUUCAUUUAUUUUGCAACACCCAGCCACCCACGAGAGAACCUAGACCCAAACAACCAUAGACCACCGUCGUGUGGCUGAAGCUUUAACCUCUCUCUCAGAUCAACUCCCAUGACGUCCAAGACAGAAAAACCCACAAAUCAAUUCG